rnacentral:lncRNA from 1 species
AUGUGCGCUUCGUCCGUUUCAACAUUUCCUCCCGGGCUGGCCUUGGCCCAGGAAAGAGGCAGGGUGCGGUUUCCCUCCGCCUCCCCCUCAGCCCUUCUCUCCCGCACCCCUCCUCCUCCUCCCCCCCCUCCGCUCCUUCCUCUCCUCCCCCCACCCCUCCUCCUCCCCCCUCAGCUCCUUCCUCUCCUCCCCCGCUCCUCCUCCCCCACCCCUCCUCCUCCCUCCUUCCUCUCCUCUCGCACCCCCCUCCUCCUCCUCCUCCCCGGCUCCUUUUUCUCCUCCUCUCCCGCACCCCUCCUUUCUUUCUCCCUCAUCUCCCUGCCCCCCUCACCCCCGCCCCUCUUCUCCCCCGUCCUCUCCCUCCAGUUCCCCCGCCGCGCCCUCCUCCACCUCCUCCUCCUCCUCCUCGCGGCCCCCGCCCCGGAAACGAGCUCACUCCGGGAGGCGGAGGCGAAGCGCGCGGGGUGGUUCGUGGGCCCGUCCUCUCCGCUGCCCGCGCGCCCCGCCCGACGGCUCGCACCUGCUUGGCGGCGGCCGCUGGAUUCUCGGCCUCGGGCGGAGGAGGCGGGAGGGAAAGUGGGUCAGCGCGGGGCCGCUGUUGGGCUUGGAAAGGGCCCAGGGCGCCGGACGCCUCUCCCGGGCGCGGCAGCAGGAGCGCCCGCGCGUAACACGCCAGACACAAAGGGGCGCGGGCGCGCGGGGAGAGGCCGUCGGGCGCCGCACACGUGGGCUGAGUCCCCCUUCCCGGCCACUGCCCGGGGCCGCCGGGGCUCUCCUCCCUCCGAGCGACGUCCCCACGGCCCCACACCGCUAGCCGGAGCCCGCAGGCGCCCACCACGCCCGCUCUUCGUCCGCCCCCGGGCUCGGUCUGGGCGGCUCCCUCCUCCGGACGCGGUCGCCGCCGCCCCGCCCUGCCCUGCCCCUCCCAGCCCCCGGGUGUCAGCCACAGGCCUCAGCAGCUGGAGUCCUCCUCCUGGGAGCAUUUUUCUGACACCUCUGGGGGACCCGGUCCCCUGA